AUGCAAAUUGAUGCCAGUCCGUACGGAGGUUUCUGCUGUACGCACGCGGGGAACCAUCAGAUGGACUCCAUCGCCCGUGAAGCCGCGGACGCAUGCUCGAUGCAGGCAACUGCCACUACAGACUCCACUGCAGCUUGCCCUACGGCCUCGACUCCAAUCCAGGCUGCACCGACCACCUCGCAGAUCAUGCACGCCUCAGAUCAUGGAAGGGCAGUUUUCCGCGCAUCCUACUACGACGCCGCGACACCAUCGUCUACGCCGAGCGCUGCAUCCCGAGCCGAGCUACAUCACCUCCUCCCGCAUCAACCUACACCGCCGAUCUAUACCUACACCAAGCACGACUACAUCAUCAUGAUCUGCACCAGAUAUUCUUCAUCGAGCCGAAUCCCCUCCUUCGAGCUGUACGACUACCCCAAGCUAUGA
rnacentral:rRNA from 1 species